GACGAACGCUGGCGGCGUGCCUAAUACAUGCAAGUCGAGCGCAGUUGCGGACGGGUGAGUAACGCGUAGGUAACUGCCUCAUAGCGGGGGAUAACUAUUGGAAACGAUAGCUAAUACAGCAUCCUUUGGGCUGGACCUGCGUUGUAUUAGCUAGUUGGUGAGGGAAAGGCCCACCAAGGCGACGAUACAUAGCCGACCUGAGAGGGUGAUCGGCCACACCGGGACUGAGACAACGCCCAGGAUUCGUCGGGAGGUAGGAGGAGGGAAUUUUUGGAAAUUGACGGAAGUCUGACCGAGCAACGGCGGGGGAGUGGAGAAGGUUUUCGGAUCGGAAAGCUAUGUUGUUAGAGAAGCGUUAACUAAACAGAAAGGGACGGCUAACUACGUGCCAGCAGCCGCGGUAAUUC
rnacentral:rRNA from 1 species